GGGCGGUCGUGCGCAGGAUUCGAGGGUACAACUUUGGCUAUGCCAAUCUCUCUGUACUUCCUUCAUUCGAAAUUCAAACUCGAAAGUAGGGGGACUGGUGUUGGGUAUAAAAUACCCUCAGCCGAAGUUCUCAGCGGGAAGAUUCCGCCCGGACUCCUAUGGGAGCCGGGCUUCGACACUGACUUUAAUUGCAGGAAGACUCCGCCCGGACUCCUACGGGAGCCG
rnacentral:lncRNA from 1 species